rnacentral:rRNA from 1 species
AGCGAACGCUGGCGGCAGGCCUAACACAUGCAAGUCGAACGAACCUUUCGGGGUUAGUGGCGGACGGGUGAGUAACACGUGGGAACGUGCCUUUAGGUUCGGAAUAACUCAGGGAAACUUGUGCUAAUACCGAAUGUGCCCUUCGGGGGAAAGAUUAAUCGCCUUUAGAGCGGCCCGCGUCUGAUUAGCUAGUUGGUUGAGGUAAUGGCUCACCAAGGCGACGAUCAGUAGCUGGUCUGAGAGGAUGAUCAGCCACAUUGGGACUGAGACACGGCCCAAACUCCGACGGGAGGCAGCAGUGGGGAAUCUUGCGCAAUGGGCGAAAGCCUGACGCAGCCAGGCCGCGUGAAUGAUGAAGGUCUUAGGAUUGUAAAAUUCUUUCACCGGGGACGAUAAUGACGGGACCCGGAGAAGAAGCCCCGGCGAACUUCGU